GCUACGGGAGGCAGCAGUGAGGAAUAUUGGUCAAUGGACGCAAGUCUGAACCAGCCAUGCCGCGUGCAGGAAGACGGCUCUAUGAGUUGUAAACUGCUUUUGUACGAGGGUAAACGCAGAUACGCGUCUCUGUCUGAAAGUACCGUACGAAUAAGGAUCGGCUAACUCCGUGCCAGCAGCCGCGGUAAUACGGAGGAUUCAAGCGUUAUCCGGAUUUAUUGGGUUUAAAGGGUGCGUAGGCGGUCGGAUAAGUUAGAGGUGAAAUCCCGAGGCUCAACUUCGGAAUUGCCUCUGAUACUGGUCGGCUAGAGAGUAGUUGCGGUAGGCGGAAUGUAUGGUGGAGCGGUGAAAUGCUUAGAGAUCAUACAGAACACCGAUUGCGAAGGCAGCUCACCAAGCUACUUCUGACGUUGAGGCACGAAAGCGUGGGGAGCAAACAGGAUUAGAUACCCGAGUAGUC
rnacentral:rRNA from 1 species